GUUUUUGCAAAACUUGAUUUCCAGCAUCUACAAUUCUUUAGCCUCUACAGUAAAGAAGACUGCAGUCCCGUUAUCCUCAGGAAAGAAGUUCCUUCCAGCUCUGUCUGAAAUGUGUAUCCCCCUGUUCUAAGAGCAUGCUGUUUGAACCUAAACUCUCCCACAAGGGAAAAAAUUGAGUUUGCUGUCUAGGAAUCCACAACUAAAUUGUUUGUGUGAAGCUAUAUUCUAUUCACCUGGAAUCACAUGUGAAAAGUGGUCGAACAUUUGCAUCAUGAAACCUUCUCCAUAUGCCAACACUAUUGAAAUGGAUACAAUCUAUCUGCAAAGCCUCAGCAAGAACAAUUGCUACUCUGGAGUAUGAAUAGGGGUUGGGGUGUCCUCCUCAUGAUAUCAGCAUACACGGGCCUCUGUUAAUUAUAACACAGAAUAUUUCUAUUUUGAAUGCCAAAGUUAACAAACAUCUGCAAAAUUUUUAACACACUUUCUUGUUAAUCUGUGGAUUAGCAUGUAGAUGUUUUCUGCAGCAAAGCAAAAUGCCAGUCUAUUGAAAGGCAAUGACAUCCCUUUUUUACAAAAUAUACAACAAGUGUUACCCUUGGAUGAUGUGUUUUGAUGAACAGGCAUUUUAUGACCUUUAUCAGUUUUUGUUACUUUUUGUUAUGAAUGUAUUUGCUAGAUUAUGAUGAUUCCUGCAGAGAUGCAGAAUUCUAAAAGAUUGUUUAGUUAAAUGCAAUUAAAAUUCAAGAUCACUUGACUGGGAUCAUUUGUAUCUCUUCCUACCAGCCAUAGAUAGCAUUUAGCUUGCAUUACAGAGAAGAUUACUGCAGUUGAUGUCAAAGCUAG